AACGAACGCUGGCGGCAGGCUUAACACAUGCAAGUCGAACGCCCCGCAAGGGGAGUGGCAGACGGGUGAGUAACGCGUGGGAACAUACCCUUUCUACGGAAUAGCUCUGGGAAACUGGAAUUAAUACCGUAUACGCCCUACGGGGGAAAGAUUUAUCGGGGAAGGAUUGGCCCGCGUUGGAUUAGCUAGUUGGUGGGGUAAAGGCCUACCAAGGCGACGAUCCAUAGCUGGUCUGAGAGGAUGAUCAGCCACAUUGGGACUGAGACACGGCCCAAACUCCUACGGGAGGCAGCAGUGGGGAAUAUUGGACAAUGGGCGCAAGCCUGAUCCAGCCAUGCCGCGUGAGUGAUGAAGGCCUUAGGGUUGUAAAGCUCUUUCACCGAUGAAGACAAUGACGGUAGUCGGAGAAGAAGCCCCGGCUAACUUCGUGCCAGCCGCCGCCGUAAAAC
rnacentral:rRNA from 1 species